UGUACAUUAUGGUGUGCUCUCGAAGAGUCGAGUUGUUUGGGAAUGCAGCUCAAAAUGGGUGGUAAAUGCCAUCUAAAGCUAAAUAUUGGCGAGAGACCGAUAGCGAACAAGUACCGUGAGGGAAAGAUGAAAAGAACUUUGGAAAGAGAGUUAAACAGUACGUGAAAUUGCUGAAAGGGAAACGCUUGAAGUCAGUCGCGUUGGCUAGAAAUCAACCUUGCUUUUGCUUUGUGUACUUUCUGGUUGACGGGUCAGCAUCAAUUUUGACCACUGGAUAAAGUCUUUGGGAAUGUGGCAUCUUCGGAUGUGUUAUAGCCCAUUGUCGCAUACGGUGGUUGGGAUUGAGGAACUCAGCACGCCGCAAGGCCGGGUUUCGACCACGUUCGUGCUUAGGAUGCUGGCAUAAUGGCUUUAAUCGACCCGUCUUGAAACACGGACCAAGGAGUCUAACAUGCCUGCGAGUGUUUGGGUGGAAAAACCCAUGCGCGCAAUGAAAGUGAAAGUUGAGAUCCUCUUCAAAGGGGGAGCAUUGACGCCCGGACCAGACCUUUUGUGACGGAUCCGCGGUAGAGCAUGCAUGUUGGGACCCGAAAGAUGGUGAACUAUGCCUGAAUAGGGUGAAGCCAGAGGAAACUCUGGUGGAGGCUCGUAGCGAUUCUGACGUGCAAAUCGAUCGUCAAAUUUGGGUAUAGGGGCGAAAGACUAAUCGAACCAUCUAGUAGCUGGUUCCUGCC
rnacentral:rRNA from 1 species